UACGGGGGGGGCAAGCGUUGUUCGGAAUUACUGGGCGUAAAGGGCUCGUAGGCGGCCAACUAAGUCCGACGUGAAAUCCCCAGGCUUAACCUGGGAACUGCGUCGGAUACUGGAUGGCUUGAAUCCGGGAGAGGGAUGCGGAAUUCCGGGUGUAGCGGUGAAAUGCGUAGAUAUCUGGAGGAACACCGGUGGCGAAGGCGGCAUCCUGGACCGGCAUUGACGCUGAGGAGCGAAAGCCAGGGGAGCAAACGGG
rnacentral:rRNA from 1 species